UGGGGAAUUUUGGACAAUGGGCGAAAAGCCCUGAUCCAGCAAUGCCGCGUGUGUGAAGAAGGCCUUCGGGUUGUAAAGCACUUUUGUCCGGAAAGAAAUCCUUGGCUCUAAUACAGUCGGGGGGAUGACGGUACCGGAAGAAUAAGCACCGGCUAACUACGUGCCAGCAGCCGCGGUAAUACGUAGGGUGCAAGCGUUAAUCGGAAUUACUGGGCGUAAAGCGUGCGCAGGCGGUUUGCUAAGACCGAUGUGAAAUCCCCGGGCUCAACCUGGGAACUGCAUUGGUGACUGGCAGGCUAGAGUAUGGCAGAGGGGGGUAGAAUUCCACGUGUAGCAGUGAAAGUGCGUAGAGAUGUGGAGGAAUACCGAUGGCGAAGGCAGCCCCCUGGGCCAAUACUGACGCUCAUGCACGAAAGCGUGGGGAGCAAACAGGAUUAGAUACCCUGGUAGUCCACGCCCUAAACGAUGUCAACUAGUUGUUGGGGAUUCAUUUCCUUAGUAACGUAGCUAACGCGUGAAGUUGACCGCCUGGGGAGUACGGUCGCAAGAUUAAAACU
rnacentral:rRNA from 1 species